AAUAUUGCACAAUGGGGGAAACCCUGAUGCAGCCAUGCCGCGUGUGUGAAGAAGGCCUUCGGGUUGUAAAGCACUUUCAGCGAGGAGGAAAGGUUGGUAGCUAAUACGUGCCAGUUGUGACGUUACUCGCAGAAUAAGCACCGGCUAACUCCGUGCCAGCAGCCGCGGUAAUACGGAGGGUGCAAGCGUUAAUCGGAAUUACUGGGCGUAAAGCGCACGCAGGCGGUUGGAUAAGUUAGAUGUGAAAGCCCCGGGCUCAACCUGGGAAUUGCAUCUCAAAACUGUCCAGCUAGAGUCUUGUAGAGGGGGGUAGAAUUCCAGGUGUAGCGGUGAAAUGCGUAGAGAUCUGGA
rnacentral:rRNA from 1 species